rnacentral:rRNA from 1 species
UACGUAGGGUGCAAGCGUUAAUCGGAAUUACUGGGCGUAAAGCGUGCGCAGGCGGCUUUGCAAGACAGAUGUGAAAUCCCCGGGCUCAACCUGGGAACUGCAUUUGUGACUGCAAGGCUAGAGUGCGGUAGAGGGGGAUGGAAUUCCGCGUGUAGCAGUGAAAUGCGUAGAUAUGCGGAGGAACACCGAUGGCGAAGGCAAUCCCCUGGACCUGUACUGACGCUCAUGCACGAAAGCGUGGGGAGCAAACAGG